UACGUAGGAGGCAAGCGUUGUCCGGAAUUACUGGGCGUAAAGCGCGUGUAGGCGGUCCGGUAAGUCCGCUGUGAAAGUCGGGGGCUCAACCCUCGGAUGCCGGUGGAUACUGUCGGGCUUGAGUACGGAAGAGGCGAGUGGAAUUCCUGGUGUAGCGGUGAAAUGCGCAGAUAUCAGGAGGAACACCAAUUGCGAAGGCAGCUCGCUGGGACGUUACUGACGCUGAGACGCGAAAGCGUGGGGAGCAAACAGG
rnacentral:rRNA from 1 species